AGGCAGCAGUGGGGAAUUUUGGACAAUGGGCGAAAGCCUGAUCCAGCAAUGCCGCGUGUGGGAAGAAGGCCUUCGGGUUGUAAACCACUUUUGUACGGAACGAAACGGUCUGCUUUAAUACAGCGGGCUAAUGACGGUACCGUAAGAAUAAGCACCGGCUAACUACGUGCCAGCAGCCGCGGUAAUACGUAGGGUGCGAGCGUUAAUCGGAAUUACUGGGCGUAAAGCGUGCGCAGGCGGUUAUAUAAGACAGUUGUGAAAUCCCCGGGCUCAACCUGGGAAUUGCAUCUGUGACUGUAUAGCUAGAGUACGGUAGAGGGGGAUGGAAUUCCGCGUGUAGCAGUGAAAUGCGUAGAUAUGCGGAGGAACACCGAUGGCGAAGGCAAUCCCCUGGACCUGUACUGACGCUCAUGCACGAAAGCGUGGGGAGCAAACAGGAUUAGAUACCCUGGUAGUCCACGCCCUAAACGAUGUCAACUGGUUGUUGGGUGCAUUAGUACUCAGUAACGAAGCUAACGCGUGAAGUUGACCGCCUGGGGAGUACGGCCGCAAGGUUGAAACUCAAAAGAAUUGACGG
rnacentral:rRNA from 1 species